UGUCAUUUCUUUUUCUGUUCUAGCCUUUGGCCUACAAUGAUCUGCAGGGUGUACACUGAUGCUAUCAGACAGCUCAGCAGGAACUGGUCACACCUUCUCUGGGGGCAUUUCCUUCAAACCACAGCAUCCUUUAAGAGGGGUCCCUUUGAUUGCAAGGAACCUGUCCGUUCUUCUGAGGACUCUGUGACCAUCCAUCUCCUUAUCCAUCUUCAAGCAAACAACUACUUUCUCAGAAGCAAUACAUCCAUCUCUGAACAGCAGCUUCAAGGCCCAGUAAUGUGGCAGAGAACCCUGCUUUCCAGAGAAGGAUCCUGGGGGUUCAAACUGCAUGGGACUCAGAAGUCAUGCUACAAGCCAACGCUGCAAACAGCUGAACUCAUGGCUCCAACAUCAGGACAUGGGAUCCAUGUGGCAGGCUGGACUACAUCUCUGCUCUGAAGAGCACUUCUCCAAAAUGGUUUAGACAUGGAAUUCGAUCAUUUUUCAC
ensembl:lncRNA